UGGGGAAUAUUGGGCAAUGGGGGAAACCCUGACCCAGCGACGCCGCGUGAGGGAAGAAGGUUUUCGGAUUGUAAACCUCUGUUCUUGGUGAAGAGAAGAAGACGGUAGCCAAGGAGGAAGCCCCGGCUAACUACGUGCCAGCAGCCGCGGUAAUACGUAGGGGGCGAGCGUUGUCCGGAAUGAUUGGGCGUAAAGGGCGCGUAGGCGGCUGAUUAAGUCUGGAGUGGAAGUCCUAUUUUUAAGGUAGGAAUUGCUUUGGAAACUGAUCAGCUUGAGUGCAGGAGAGGUUAUCGGAAUUCCCGGUGUAGCGGUGAAAUGCGUAGAGAUCGGGAGGAACACCAGUGGCGAAGGCGGGUAACUGGACUGCAACUGACGCUGAGGCGCGAAAGUGUGGGGAGCAAACAGG
rnacentral:rRNA from 2 species